GAUGAACGCUGGCGGCGUGCCUCAAACAUGCAAGUCGAACGGCAGCACGGGAGCAAUCCUGGUGGCGAGUGGCGAACGGGUGAGUAAUAUAUCGGAACGUGCCCAGUCGUGGGGGAUAACGUAGCGAAAGCUACGCUAAUACCGCAUACGAUCUACGGAUGAAAGCGGGGGAUCGCAAGACCUCGCGCGGACGGAGCGGCCGAUGGCAGAUUAGGUAGUUGGUGGGAUAAAAGCUUACCAAGCCGACGAUCUGUAGCUGGUCUGAGAGGACGACCAGCCACACUGGGACUGAGACACGGCCCAGACUCCUACGGGAGGCAGCAGUGGGGAAUUUUGGACAAUGGGCGCAAGCCUGAUCCAGCCAUGCCGCGUGCAGGAUGAAGGCCUUCGGGUUGUAAACUGCUUUUGUACGGAACGAAAAGACUCUUUCUAAUAAAGAGGGUCCAUGACGGUACCGUAAGAAUAAGCACCGGCUAACUACGUG
rnacentral:rRNA from 1 species